rnacentral:tRNA from 1 species
UGGCUCAGUGGUAGAGCGCUUGCCUUGAAUGCAUGAGGCCCUGGGUUCAAUUCCUCAG